AUAUAUAUUCCUGGUGUGAAGUUAGAUGAAAUUUGUGUCACAUCAAUGUAUAAGCAGCUGAUGACACUGAUGUUUGUUAUUGUUGUGAAUAGACAAAUGUAAUGCUGUUUUCUGUUGAUGAUAUAAUGUUAAACUUCUUUUCGAUAAUUUGAGUUCAUUUGCAAUUACUAAUAUAUAUAGGUUAAAAAUCUUGUAGGCCUUCUAUUACUACAACACCAUGACUACUUCUAAUUACAGUAUGAUAAGCUAUGUUUUGUGUAGUUUUUACUUAAACAUGUCAUCAAAUCUCAGUAUAUUGAAUAUAAUUAUCCCUUAAAUUGCUUUCUAUACUCAAAUUUGGCAAUCUUGAAUAGGUCUUUGGGCUAUGAAAUUUAAGAAGGAAGAGUUAAGUAUAAGACUUAAUGAAAUUAAAACCUACUUAAAAUCAUUCAUUUGGACAUUAAUAUAGCCUGGUCUUUAUAUGAAAUAAGAUUGAAGAAAAAUGAUUUGUGAAACAAUUCUAUAAAACUUUGUUGUAUGUAAACAACAAUUCUUUACUCCCAAGAAUAUAUACAAAUUUUCCUAUUGUGACUGAAAGCAAGUUCAAAUUUUAUAACAUCUUUUAAGACCAGUUCAGAAAUGUGAAUUUUUCAUGGUCAAAAUAUUAAAAAUCAACAAUUUAGUACCUCUUCUUUUGAAAGAUUGAAAAUGUUGAUGGACAACACUAUUCUGAAUUCUGGUUUAAUAACUCCUUCAUUAUUAGAUUGUUUUUAUAUUUCCUCCUAAAUUUAUAUUCUGCCUUUAGACAAGCUUUUUAUUAUCGUCUAAAAAGUGUUUAUUAUAUAUCUUUUUCAUUUAUAUUCAUUUACAAAUAUGCAACUAAUGUAUAUUUACUACUUAUUAGAAUUUUUAGUUUGGUAUAUUUCAACUUAAUAAAACUAAAAAUCAAUAAUCCCAGCACAUUAAAGAAAACAACAAGUUUGGAUUCUCACAUUUACAGAUUUCAUGUAUAUUUAGAAAAUUAAACAAUGAAAUUUUUGUUUUCCUCAGAAUAUUAUUAGUUGGUGUACACUUAACAUGAAAAUCAGUUAUUGUAAUUUUAAGUCUCUAAUAUCUUCAGAGCUCAAGUUGUGUUUGUUUCUUACAAAUAAAAUAUAUUUAUAAUUAAAAAAUGUAAUAUCAUCAUUGUCAAUAAUGUCUACACUGAAAAAUAUCAGCAUCAUACUAUAACAUCAAUCACAGACUGCACUGUAAAAUAACACGUUCAUUGCAGGUGGCAUAGUAAAAAGGCUGACAUACAGACCUCAUUCAUAUAAACUGGGUGGUACAGCUGGAAUCAUUCUGUUAUCUCUUAAACGUUCCUGUAAAUCUAUUACUAAACCAUUUCAAGUACAGGUUGAAUGGUAAAAGAUAUUCUAUUCUGUAAAAUAAAGAGGAUUUUCUGGACAAUUUCCUUUAUUCAGUGAUGUAAACAAAUCAGUAACACUACUUUUUGAGAUCUGCAAUCUUAUCUCUUUUUCAGGUAAAUAACUAACCUAACACAUAAUUAAAAUAAACAAAUCAUACCAGAGCGUUGUGGCACGUAUAAGUGAGGCAUCACAACCACCAUGUUGUGUGUCAACUUCACUAACUCUAAAACAUGCACUUAAUAAAAACAAAACACUAAUUAUUAAAACUGAACUACAGACAAUUGUUUAGAAAUACUGUUGGAAGUCUCUUAAUCGUGUCAGCAAUAAUAAAUUUACCGAAUACAAAUAUGCUGAUUGGAACUAAGUAAUUUCUUUAACAUAUUUCGCUUCACAAGGAUUGCAGUAAUACAGCUGCUGUUUUUGCAACUUUCUGCUUCUUUCACUUGAACUGUUAUGUUUCAGCUGUUCUGUCAUUUUACAGGUGUUCAGUUGUCAUUUAACCUUGUUUUAUGAAGUAUGUAUGUUUGAUAUAUAUGAAAAAAUAUUGAUCUGUGAAAAACACUUCUGACAUAACUUUUCCCCGACUCUGGAAAUUUUCCUUCCUGACAUAACAUUUUAUCUUCUAUUCAGAUAACUGAAUAUUUUUCAGAAGGUGUACGUACAGAAAGCACCACUAAAUCACCUGUUAUAAUUUUCUUUAAGAAACUCACCUCAACCAUGUCAAUCAAGACCCUUGACAUGAACAAUCAAGUGAUCACAUUUUUUAAAAGAUGAACAUACAAGAUGGAUGUUCAAAUUAUCAUGAAGAAUUUUUAUAAUCCUCCCAUGUGAAAUUCCACGGUCAUGGGCAAUAGCUAUGAUUUUUAUUUGAUAGUCAAGAACGCACAAUUUCUUUAACACUAUCAAUUUUGUCAUUUGUAUUGGAAGUGGAGGAUCACCCAUCCGAACGUCAUCUUCAAUAUUUGUGCAACUUUCAUAAAAUGCUUAAGACACAUGUACACUACUUUUUUUUACAAAUAUUCUCUGUAUGCUUUCUUUAGCAUCUUAAGGAUCUCUGAUAGAUAAAUAACACACAAAUGUAUGUUGGAUGAUACGUGUCCAUGUGUAACAGACAAUUUUGGGUGUUAAGUAGGACCUAAUUACAAUAAGAAGUAAGAGUUAAGAAACAAUUAUAGGUCUCAUAAUUUAAUUUGACAACUUGCAAAGUCAUAAAGAAUCCAUUUGUUUUACUCAUUAAUGACAAAGUAAUUAAACUGUAUUAGCUAUCAGUCAGUGGUAUAACAAUUUCUAAGGCAUAAAAGGUCAUUGGCAGUUGAAUAAGAAACAACAUGGUAUAUAUGAAAUGUAGGAAGUAUAUAUGAGCCACAUGUACAAAUGUGUGUAUAAAUGUAAUUUUUGUGUGAUAUUACAAACAAAAAAUCACUUAAUUUCCAAAUACAAAGUUUUGAAAUGGUUUAAGGUAAUUAAAACAAAACUAAAUUCUUCAAGUAAUAGUAGUUCAUUGUCUUCUUUCAUGGAAGUCAGCCACUGAGUAAAAUGGAUUGCUGAUUAACCAGUCAGUAAGGACAUCCUUCAAUUUUCCUCCAGAGAGACGUCUUACUUCAUCUGGCAGUAGGUUAUACAGCUUCAUAUCAAUGUAAAAGGAUUUCUCAUACUGGGAGAGGUGGUGAGCUGGGAGAUGGUAUCUUGUGCUAUAUCGGGUGUUGUAGUCAUGGAAAUCUCUCUCACACCUCGUGUCAAAGUUGGCCAACAGCAUACAUUAGAACUUCUUUUAUGUCAAGGUUUAUUAAAGUCAUGAUCUUCAGACUUACAAAUGCUUACCUACAACUUUCCCUGAAGCCUAGGCCUGAUAAGGCUCUUACAGGCCCUCCUUUGCAACACCAAUACUUGCUGAGGUUCCUCCCCACACCCACAGUCCAUAUCUAAGGUGUGUUUCAAACAGAGAGUGAUAAGCUACUUGCUGAGGUUCCUCCCCACACCCAUAGUCCAUAUCUAAGGUGUGUUUCAAACAGAGAGUGAUAAGCUACUUGCUGAGGUUCCUCCCCACACCCAUAGUCCAUAUCUAAGGUGUGUUUCAAACAGAGAGUGAUAAGCUACUUGCUGAGGUUCCUCCCCACACCCAUAGUCCAUAUCUUAGGUGUGUUUCAAACAGAGAGUGAUAAGCUACUUGCUGAGGUUCCUCCCCACACCCAUAGUCCAUAUCUUAGGUGUGUUUCAAACAGAGAGUGAUAAGCUACUUGCUGAGGUUCCUCCCCACACCCAUAGUCCAUAUCUUAGGUGUGUUUCAAACAGAGAGUGAUAAGCUACUUGCUGAGGUUCCUCCCCACACCCAUAGUCCAUAUCUAAGGUGUGUUUCAAACAGAGAGUGAUAAGCUACUUGCUGAGGUUCCUCCCCACACCCAUAGUCCAUAUCUUAGGUGUGUUUCAAACAGAGAGCGAUAAGCUACUUUCACAGUAGUAGUAUUACUUAUUGAUUUACUUGAUUAUAACACAUAGUUGACAGAAUGUAUUAUCUGUAAACAUUAUACUAUGUACCACUCUCUCUCCUAACCAAUACAUUAUUUUCUGUAUUUUUGCAGCUAUUAGAGUCUACCUUUCUUGAAAACACAUCACUAAAAGUUGUUCAGUCUAUUAUUUAGAAUUGUAAUAUUACAAUGCUUUUUUUUAAUAUUUUCAUUUAAAUUUCAUUAUAUGAAUAAUUUUGAUGUGGAAUUUUGAAUAAAUUACAAAUAAUUACAAUGUUGACUUAAAACAAAUUAAAUUACCUAACAUAUACAAUAAAGGUCUGUAAUGAUACACUUUGCCACAUACUCACGAAAUUUUAUAUGUAUAAUGAUAUAAUAGUUGUUACUCUUUAAGAAGUAAUUAUUAACUUACAUUAAAAUGGGCCAAUGAAAAAAUGUCUUCAAAAAAUUUGCAAUUUAAUUUGUAGCAUUCAUUGUCUUUGAUGAGUCUUUUUUUGAAUAUCAUAUAAAUUCAAUAUUUGAACUUCAAACUUCAAUAUUACUUAAAAUGUCUGUUAGUCAUUAGGAUAAUCUUAUAAUGUUUUGUCAAGUAUUAUUUUAUAAUAUGUGCAUCCUAAUAUACUAUGUUAAUGCUUAUUUUAGUUUUUGUAGUUAAUGUUUGACUGUUUUUAUUUAGUUGUAUGAUUUUAGUCAAAAUAGUAUUAAUUUUAAAUAAAUAUUUGUAAUGAGUUUACUAGUGUAUAAGCUGCAUUAAUACCAGUAGUUUGUUUGUAGAAUCUUCUUUUAUUUGUUCAUAUUCCAGUCUUUUUGACUGAUUCUAGGUCGUGUUUAUAAAUCUUAUUUAUUUUAAUGUACCAAAAUAAAAAAAAUUGGUAAAAGAUAAUGUACUUGUCAAUGUAAUAGGAACAAAAUGUAAAAUUACUUAAACCUGUGAUUUAUACAUUUGUAAAUCUACUUUUUUGUCUUGUACAGAAGUAAUUUAUGUAAAAGAUGAUAACAAAGUAUUUUGGUUUGUGAAACUUUACAGUCAGUUAUUUUAAUAGCAAUAAUUUACAUUUAUAAUAAUAAUUAAUUAUUUAUUAGUACUUAUGGUUUUUUAUGUUUUAUAAAAACAAACUUUUAUAUACUUUAAAAAAUUACACUCACAAACAAUAAAAUAGUUUAAGUAGAUUUCUUAAACUAAAAAUAUGUUGUAAAUUCAUUUAAAUUACUACACGUCUCGUAGCUGUGUCUUUCAAUAUUGAAAUGUUUGUUUUACACAAUUAAUAUUAACUGAAUUGAAAACUGGUUUAAAUAUUAAAACAGAGUAUUAUAUUUACUUUCUUAUAUCCGUUUCAGAAUUUAGAGUAUAAACAUUGAAUGUGUUGGAGAUAUAAAAGGGUUUUCAGAUAAAGCAACGAAGGUUGUAUUUGUCUACGCUUCCUUUCUUCACUAGUGCUAUUCACACUGUGUUUUAGAUUUAUUAAGUAUUUGUUAGUUUGCUUAUUGCUCAACCCUCCAAGUGCUUGAGUCAUGGCCAUGAACAUAUGUAAUGUCUCAAUGUGAGAACAUUCUGCUGUGACACAAACACGUGCAGAGUUAUAAAAAUGUGCUUCAAGGCAUUCAUGUUCUAAAAUACUUAAAUGAAACUAGUUUAGUUGAAAUUGUUUAAUUUUCUUAUUCUAUCUACAGUAAGAACGCUUGUUAGUGCUUGUGUGUGCCUUUAAUCAAGCUACCUGUGUUGUAGAUUAGACAGGAAUUGUGUACAUGGAUUCUGCUCGGGCUGCAGGGUUUCAGUUUGUGUUCAUUUCUUUAUUUUUGACAAAUGCUUUUUGCAGUUUUUAUUUUUUCUGUUUCCACUUUUGUAAAAUUAUUUACAUGUUCGUGUAAAGUGUUACCAAAUGUUUAGAAUGACUGAAGUUUUAGUAGUGAAUUUGGAGAAUCAGGAUAAGCGUACUUGUAGAGUAGUAUCGUUGUUAUGAUAGAAAUAUAAAAAUAAGUUGUUCAUCUAUAAAAGAAAUCAAUACAAUUCAUGUUUAAAUUGUUUGUGAAUAUUGAGUUUUUUCUUAAAAAAGUAAUCUUUUUCUAUUGUAUAACUUAUUAUUGUGCAAAACAAUUGUGCCAAGGUAUUCUGCUUUACUUAUAAGUUCACUUACCACAGUAAUAAAAGUAAUUUUGUUUUUUAUAAGUAAUUUUUCAAGACAUUUUCUUAGUUUUAUAACAUAUUAAAUGUUAAAAUGUGUGUCUUAUAGCUUUAUAAUAAAUUAAUGGUACAAUAAUCAUACUAAAUAACAGAAUUAGUUGUCUUUUCUGAAAUAACUUAAGGAAAUAAUUUUAAAACUUAAAAGUCUACCGUAUGACAUGUAUGGAAUUGUUAUAAAAAUAAACUUGACUCUCCACUUAUUCUUUCUCAGUCCUUAAAAUAAACAAAUAGGAAAUAACCUAAAUAUUCUGUCAAUGACCUCAUCAUCUUACAUAAUUCUAACUUCAGUUGCAAAGACAUCUUGUGUUUCAAACUGUUUUACCUUGGUAAAUCAAAAUAUAUUUUUAUUAAUGCAGAGUAUCGUAUAAUUAAUUAUGAUGAAUAUAACAUUUGAGAAAAUUUAAUGUAAAUGUUGGUUUUCUUUAAUAUAGUAUACUCAAAUACAUAAGAUAUUUUGUUAGUGAGUAUGAUACAUUCCAAAAUAUUGUUAAUUUAUACUAAAUGUAUACAUAGAAAUUAUUAUUUUAAUAAACAAUGUUGGAAAAAUAAA